rnacentral:rRNA from 1 species
UGGGGAAUCUUGCGCAAUGGGCGAAAGCCUGACGCAGCGACGCCGCGUGAGUGAUGAAGGCCUUCGGGUUGUAAAGCUCUGUGGGGAGGGACGAAUAAGUGUUGGCUAAUAUCCAGCGCGAUGACGGUACCUCUUUAGCAAGCACCGGCUAACUCUGUGCCAGCAGCCGCGGUAAGACAGAGGGUGCAAACGUUGUUCGGAAUUACUGGGCGUAAAGCGUGUGUAGGCGGCUUGGCAAGUCGGAUGUGAAAGCCCCGGGCUCAACCCGGGAAGUGCACUCGAUACUGCCGAGCUUGAGUAUCGGAGAGGUGGGUGGAAUUCUCGGUGUAGAGGUGAAAUUCGUAGAUAUCGAGAGGAACACCGGCGGCGAAGGCGGCCCACUGGACGAAUACUGACGCUGAGACACGAAAGCGUGGGGAGCAAACA